AAUCAACGCUGGCGGCGUGCCUCAGACAUGCAAGUCGAACGCGAAAGUUCCCUUCGGGGAGCAAGUAGAGUGGCGCACGGGUGAGUAACACGUAGGUAAUUUGCCUUCGGGUGGGGAAUAACAGUCGGAAACGACUGCUAAUACCGCAUAAUGCAGCGGCUCGACAUCGAGACAGUUGUUAAAGCGGGGGAUCCUUCGGGACCUCGCGCCUGAAGAGAAGCCUGCGGCAGAUUAGCUAGUUGGUGAGGUAAUGGCCCACCAAGGCUACGAUCUGUAACCGGCCUGAGAGGGCGGUCGGUCACACUGACACUGACAUACGGGUCAGACUCCUACGGGAGGCAGCAGUCGGGAAUUUUGGGCAAUGGGCGCAAGCCUGACCCAGCAACGCCGCGUGAAGGAUGAAAUUUUUCGGAAUGUGAACUUCGCAAGAACGGGAAGAAAUAAGUUCAGGCAAACAGCCUGAAUGA
rnacentral:rRNA from 1 species